GCCGGACGCGGUGGCGCGCGCCUGUAGUCCCAGCUACUCGGGAGGCUGAGAUGGGAGGAUCGCUUGAGCCCAGGAGUUCUGGGCUGUAGUGCGCUAUGCCGAUCGGGUGUCCGCACUAAGUUCGGCAUCAAUAUGGUGACCUCCCGGGAGCGGGGGACCACCAGGUUGCCUAAGGAGGGGUGAACCGGCCCAGGUCGGAAACGGAGCAGGUCAAAACUCCCGUGCUGAUCAGUAGUGGGAUCGCGCCUGUGAAUAGCCACUGCACUCCAGCCUGGGCAACAUAGCGAGACCCCGUCUCUU
rnacentral:SRP_RNA from 1 species